ensembl:lncRNA
ACCCAUGCUCCCUUUGUUGCAUUGUUAAGGAGCAAUUUAAUUGGAGCGACACUUUCUGGAAGGCUCAGACAGCUGCACAAAAUAGCCUUGAAAUGUCUAAAUUUAAUUGGCUGCCAUCUCUGAGCUCAGGAACAAAAGAUUGAGGCUUUGACCGUGCCCGAUCAACCGACUGGAUACAAGCAAGCUACAACCAGUAAUGAUAUAGAUAUGGUGCUACAGAAUGUUGCAGCACAUCCACUGUUACACGGAUGGUACACAUACUGGAACAAGGAGGGGUAUCUGUGCCUGCCUGGUGUGACAGAAGGCCUCUUUCAAACACUUUCCAGGACUGAAGUGCAGAUUUAAUGCUGGGGUAAAAACUGAUGCCAUACUGAACCAGAAGCAAAAAGGAUAUUUCCUGGCAGUGCCAGAGAUGGAGGUGUGAGAAGUUUUCUGGCUUGACAUGUUAUGGAAAAUGAAUGGAGAACGCUGCCAGUAUGACCCAGAGCUUUAUAUCUGCCUGGAACAGAUAGGAAUGUCUCUGCAGAGUGACAGAUAUGGGGUAUCCGGAGAAUGAACCUGCCAGUGUCCCACUAGGGAUAUUGCUUCAGUUGCCAUGUCUUGUUGAGAGAUUUCCUGCUUCUCCCAACAACCAGAAAUGUCCCUAUACAAGAAAUGCACUACUCUCCAACACCACCUUCUGCUGGAGCAUCCCCAAACCCCCAGCGUUUUCACUUCAGAGGAAAGGGUGCACAGAAGGAGUAACCUGGGAAGAAGGUAAUAUCCCUCCUACCCUCCCUUUCAACCAGGCACCCUCCUUCAUAUGCAGCUGACUGCCAGCCUGCAGGAAGGUGAGCGGGGUGGAAAGGACCUACACAUCAUAUCGCCUUAUUCUCUGGGGGAACCCUGUGCUCUUUGCAGCACAUAGCAUUCCCUUCUGAGCACAGAAACCUGCCAUGUGCCUCUUUCGAUGGCUGAGAGCUCACACAUUUCAGUUGAGACAGAGCAGGGCACAGAACUUCUUUGUGACAUCCCGACUCAGAAAUAGCAAAGCUGGGGCUGUGCUUAGCAGUGUUGUCUCUGAGCUGCAGAGGCUGUUCUGCCAGGGCCAGAAUCCAAGACAUUCAAUACGAAAAAAAAAAGCAUCCUUCUGCAUCACUGGUAGCUGCAGAACCCACUGAUAGGAGAUGUAUCGCAUGGAUGGCUCCAUAGGGUUGGUGGCAGCCGCCAUCCCAAGGUUUAAUCCUAGGCAAACCACAGCAAGCAGCUCCCUGCAGUCCGUGGUGCUGUUGGGAACUCCUUGCCAGCGUACAAGCAGAAUGUCAGAGUCAAAAUUUACCACCAAUUCAACAGCGAAUGGACAAAUUAACUGGAGUAAAAGCCACCGUGAUCUGAAUACAAAGAUAUAGACUUGUAUCACUCUUUUUUUCCUCCAUCCACCCUUUUUGGGUGACUUUCCCACAUCUGGGAGAACAACAGUGAACAGAGAACAACUGUUCCUGGAGGACAAUCAUCUCACACACUCCUGUUGGUCCAGCUGAUGUCACUUCCUCCAGGAGUCCCCAUCACCGUAUACAGCAGAAGUGCAUAUAUGCAUGCAGAUGAUCUGCAGAUGUCUGCUAGUGUGCGUGUAAUAGUGUUCAGUGCUGCUGCAGACACCUUGGCUGGAAUGGGUCGUGCCACGGUGCACACCACACUGAGUUCUCCUUAGCAGCACAGGAAUCAGCACGGAGGAUGGCUCUGACACCCUUUGGGAGCCAAAAGCUGCCUGCAGGAUUGGGAAGGGGGUGCCUGAGAAAGAGGCAGUGAAAUUGAGAGCAGGCUGUUCCUGCUGGCUGCAGUUCUCCCAGGUGUGUCUUCUCGAGUGAGACCAUGAGGCCUACAGAUGUUUCCUUUCUUGUCCCAGGCGGCAGAGCAAACACGCAUCCCAGCCCUAAGGCUGAGCCUCAGAGCUUGCAAAAAGUGAAGCAAUUUCCAGCAAAUUCUGUAGCUUACGUGGGGAAAUCCGGGUUAUGGAAUCACCGUCCCUGGAGGUGUUCAAGAAAUGCAUCGACGUGGCACUGAGGGACGCGGUCAGUGGGCAUGGUGGGGACGCGUUGGUGGUUGGACCAGAUCAUCUUAGAGGUCUUUUCCAACCUUCGUGAUUCUGUGAUUCUGUGAAAAGCCACACGCAUACUUCCCAAGGCUGGCACGGAAGCAGGUCUGUACCUGCGGUAUGUGGAUCUGGGCCCUUCCUGUGCUGCGUGCAUCCCCUGAGGAUGCUGCUGUGUCCCUCAGGCCCCCCGUCCCGAGGCUGGAUCUGUU